UGUAAUAAAAUACACAAUAGAGAAUAAAGAAAGGAAAUCCCCAUGGCAUUAUCGGUAAUGGACAAAGGGCAAUUGCAAAACAAAAAAGUCUAUCAGCUGUGCCAAGCACGACGUGUUACGAGACUAUGAUUCGGAGGGAGCUGUCAACAUGCUAACCAGGCAUCUCUCUGCUGGGGGUCCGCGUGGUGAGAAGGCACGCGCCCCACCAGGCCGUUCCCAGCCCUAUCAACAGUGCCAUCGCCCAGCCCUCACGCCACCGCACGCGGACCCUCACCUCCACGGCGAACGCAGUGACUGUUGCCCUCUCCCUCCACCCCCCACCACUUGCAACGAACGCAUCACUCUAGAGAACCCUCUCGUGCAAUGCAGUCACAAUUUAUUUAAGAGACAGUGGUUCAUCUGCAUACUGAAGGCGUCAUCAGCGCGGGACAAAGGACGCAGCCUCACCUGCCCGGACACCCUCCACCUGCCAAUUAGCAUGCCGAGUGGCCUAGGACUGCCUGCAUGCUGUCCUGAUGACCAACUCCCAACCCGAACUCUAACUAAACUCUCAACAGAAGAUCAAGAGGAGCCACGGGAGCAGCAUGAGCCAAAAGAGAAUUGUCACUAUGAAACACUUACUUGCGAGACUAACGGGCUGGAGCCGACCACCAUAAAAGUCUACCUGCGCUAUUGGCCAAACGCAAGAAAAUAAUAAUAUAAAAAAAGUUAAAUUUGUCUUGUUAACGUUGGAACACGCCUUGCGUCAGAACGUCGGAACUUGUUAGCGUCGGUCUCUUGUUAGUGACAUUCUCAGCUGGGCGACAUUUUAGUUUCGCUACAUAAUUCUCAGUAAUUUAUUGUUGUUACCACAAUUUGUUGUUGGCUUUUUUUUAAAUAAAAACUAUUUCGCAACUCACGACUCCGCAAGCUCAACAUAAACCCACACGAGAAUUGAUCGUUUGUAUGGAGGUAGCCGUUAUUGUCACUGGCAAAAUCAUAUGAAUGUUUAUUAAAUAUUCAUCCAUAUUGUGAAGCAAAAGAUGUGGGAGAAGCACUUAGGGUAACACAAGAGCAACGGCCCCGCCUUAAGCCACCCUGCGUGUGGUGACGAUGGUUCUCUAAUGAUUUAUUAAUCCACAACUCAUCUCUCUUGAGUUAAUUAAAGCACGUUUUCCUCCAUUAACUUUCUCCUUUGUCUCAUUAGCACAUCUCACACUGCCUUCCUGUUUUUUGUUUUAGUUUUCCUCCUACCGGGAAGCAUCUGUUCUAAGUCCUCCUUGUCACACUUCAAUCCCUUUUCAGUUUCCACUGUUAUCCGGUCGCUCAUUUCCAUCCUGUCUCACUUUCCCAUCACUUCUGAAAUACUUGACAUUAUUAAGGAAAGCCGCUCUCCUUUCCCUUCCUCGUCUGUCUUUUCACAUCCUGAAACUCCGCGUCCCACCAUUUUCCCUUCUUUCUCACUCUCAACCCCUGCCUCCCUUCCUCCCGCAUCCCCCUCUCUUUCUUCCUUCCUUUCCUCCUUCCGCCAGCAGCUCUUUCGUAAAUGUUACCAAUUAAGUUCCUCCUCACCGUCAACACUUUGUGAACGCCACCAAUUAAGGAGUCCAGCUAAUUCUUUGUAUUUUUACUUUUCUUCCCUGCGACAGAGGGAAGAACUACAUCUUUCCCCAAACUUUUCGGGUUUUAUCUUUAUAAGCUUUUCGGCUUUAUUUCUGUACCGUGCAAAGUUUCUUUAUAUCACUAUUUUCCUUGAGAGUUAAAUAAAUAUGAAAUUGACCUUUCUUUUCUACAAACCCGAGAGUAUUUUAACAGCGAUAAUGUGACGUAAUAAAUCCAUAAAACAACAAAAAAUACAUAUAUAUAAAA